AUUGAACGCUGGCGGCAGGCCUAACACAUGCAAGUCGAACGGUAACAGGAAACAGCUUGCUGUUUCGCUGACGAGUGGCGGACGGGUGAGUAAUGUCUGGGAAACUGCCUGAUGGAGGGGGAUAACUGCUGGAAACGGUAGCUAAUACCGCAUAACGUCGCAAGACCAAAGAGGGGGACCUUCGGGCCUCUUGCCAUCGGAUGUGCCCAGAUGGGAUUAGCUAGUAGGUGGGGUAACGGCUCACCUAGGCGACGAUCCCUAGCUGGUCUGAGAGGAUGACCAGCCACACUGGAACUGAGACACGGUCCAGACUCCUACGGGAGGCAGCAGUGGGGAAUAUUGCACAAUGGGCGCAAGCCUGAUGCAGCCAUGCCGCGUGUAUGAAGAAGGCCUUCGGGUUGUAAAGUACUUUCAGCGGGGAGGAAGGGAGUAAAGUUAAUACCUUUACUCAUUGACGUUACCCGCAGAAGAAGCACCGGCUAACUCCGUG
rnacentral:rRNA from 1 species